rnacentral:tRNA from 1 species
UCGGGAUUAGGUUAGUGGUAGACCGACAGGUUCUGACCCUGUUCGCGGUGGUUCGAUUCCAUCAUCCCGAA